rnacentral:rRNA from 1 species
UGGGGAAUCUUGGACAAUGGGGGCAACCCUGAUCCAGCCAUGCCGCGUGAGUGAUGAAGGCCUUAGGGUCGUAAAGCUCUUUCGCCUGUGAAGAUAAUGACGGUAGCAGGUAAAGAAACCCCGGCUAACUCCGUGCCAGCAGCCGCGGUAAUACGGAGGGGGUUAGCGUUGUUCGGAAUUACUGGGCGUAAAGCGCACGUAGGCGGACCAGAAAGUUGGGGGUGAAAUCCCGGGGGCUCAACCCCGGAACUGCCUCCAAAACUAUUGGUCUAGAGUUCGAGAGAGGUGAGUGGAAUUCCAAGUGUAGAGGUGAAAUUCGUAGAUAUUUGGAGGAACACCAGUGGCGAAGGCGGCUCACUGGCUCGAUACUGACGCUGAGGUGCGAAAGUGUGGGGAGCAAACAGGAUUAGAUACCCUGGUAGUCCACACCGUAAAACGAUGAAUGCCAGUCGUCGGGUAGCAUGCUAUUCGGUGACACACCUAACGGAUUAAGCAUUCCGGCC